ACCCCUUCCCACGCGCGCCUCCUGGGGGUGCCCCCUUCCCAAGCCCCGGGCCCCUCCCGCCAACGGUCACCGGGGGUCCUGGCAGAGGCAGGGGGCCGGGGGAAACCAAGAGGGGUCUGCGAGGAGACGGGACCUGUGAGACAGGCGGGACCCGGUGGUGGCACCCCAACAAGCAGAAAGAAGGGAAGGGAGAUGAGGCAAAACUUAGGGAGGCUGCUCAGGAGGAACAGGGUGGGGUUUUAAGAGAGGGGAGCCUGCAGUACAGGAAAUCCCUCUACCCUCGAGGAAGCAGCAGCAGAAAUGGGCGCUGGAAGGCUCCAGGGCCCCUGGAGCAGGACUCAGAAGGGAAUUCCAGGGCAGAGGCUGCAGGGGCAGUCUGGAACCGGAAGGGGGCUGGGGCCGCGGAGCCCGCAAACGCAGAAUGGGCCACGCCUAGGGUGAAAGGGACAGGUGGGGAGCAGUGCGGUUUUUCUUCUCGCCCUCACUGCUCCCAGUCCCGGGGCUGACUUCCCCCGUCCUUUCUGCAACUCCACCACCCGCCGUCACCUCUUAGGGCCUUGAGAGUGUGCAGGCGUCUUCAAACCUCCAGUGGCUAUUCUGGGCCUGCCCAGAUUGGGUAUUCCCCGGAGACCUGGGAGUCCUGGAACCUGCUCUCCAGUCACUGGAGCCUCGGCCCCACCCUGGAUCUGGACUGCAGCCACUGGUGCUGCCUCCGCUCACCAGGGCUGAGAGGGAAGUGGCUGAGAGCUCACGGGCACCCCCUCGGCCCCCGAGAGGGAGCCCACAGCUGUCGGGGGAGCUGCCACCGCUGCUGCCGCCGCCGCCGCUGCAGCCGCCGCCGCCGCCGCCGCCAUAGGACAGACCUCACCGGUACCUGCACAGCGAGAAACACCAGGAGAUCACAGUACAAUCUGAAAGGCAAGAGCCUCGCCCCCUGCCCCAGACUCAUUCCCAGACUCCCUCCCCUGGGACACAGCCGUUGCUCACUUCCUGUUUGGUCCCCAGAGGCCUCCGCCUGCAUCCUUACCCAGUUGUCCUGAAGGGCCUUCCCUGUCCCCAGAAGUCUCCCUAACUUCAGUGAUGGAUGGGCAUCCCUGGCCUUCCUGAGAUCCCCUAUUGGGCCCUUUGAGCCCCCUCGUCCCACACAACCCAUCCCACCCCCCCCAGCCAUGCCCCACGCCUUGCCUGGUGGGUGCGGGGGUCCCCCUCAGCAGGUGGGCUGUGGCUGGGGGGCGUCUCCCGGGACAGGGGGGGCGGCCCCCCCCAGAUGGGUCUGCAUGUGGCCGGCCAGCUGGGCAGGGGUCUUGCAGUGCACGCUGCACAGCUUGCACAGGAUGCGGUCAGCCCGCGGGGCCUGGAGCCCGUGGUCCUUCACCGCGUGGAUGCGCAGAGCCUAUUCUCCGUGGCUGGGGGACCUCUUCCGGGAUGACAGCGCACUGAUUCCUAGCCACUUGAAGAGUUGACCCUCAGCAGAGACGGCUGUGUCCCCUCCCUCCAGGGCCCCAUACAGUCUCAGCCCAAUUACUCCGUGAAUAUGUGAAUCUGUUUAAAAGCAGCUUUUUCUGCUCCUGGGGCAGGGCGCGAGCUUGUUAAACCCCUGCCAACGCGCUCUGCUUGCCCCAGGAGCCGAAGAGCAGAACAUGUGGCCACACAGCUGAAACCCUGGCUUCCAACCCUUGGGAACUGGCUCUUGACCACUCCUUCCCCACGGCAGUGAGUCCUGCUCCCACCCUCCCUCCCCACCCCCAGAGACUGACUCUUCCGGGUAGGUCAUCUCCUCCAGUCAACACCUCUCAAAACUUAAUGAGGUUCAGUCCUCCUGAUGUUGUUCCAUUUGCUUCCUAAAGGGCUCUAGAUGCCAUGAGCUCUGGACUACAACACCUUUAACCCACGUCUGUGGAAGGGCCUCUGGCUUUGUCCCCUACCCAUUGUCCCUGGCCCUCCCAGCAUCCUUCAGCAUGUACCUUUGUUGCAGAGCUCACAGACAUGGUGAGGGCCCUGGCUGUGCACCUUCAUGUGGUCCGAAAUAUAAGCCGAGCUCAGCAUCUUGCCACACACAUGA